CGGAGCGUAGCUCAGACUGGUAGAGCGCCGCCUUCGGGAGGCGGAGGUCGCUGGUUCAAAUCCAGUCGCUCCGACCA
rnacentral:tRNA from 1 species